GGAACGAACGCUGGCGGCGUGGAUAAGACAUGCAAGUCGAACGGAAUUAAAUUUGUAGUAAUACACGUUUAGUUUAGUGGCGAACGGGUGCGUAACACGUGAGUAAUCUACCGAAAAGUGGGGGAUAGCUCGCCGAAAGGCGAAUUAAUACCGCAUAUGGCCAUUUUCCUAUUGGAAGAGACGCUAAAGCAGCAAUGCGCUUUUUGAUGAACUCGCGGCCUAUCAGCUAGAUGGCGGGGUAACGGCCCACCAUGGCUAUGACGGGUAGCUGGUCUGAGAGGACGACCAGCCACACUGGAACUGAGACACGGUCCAGACACCUACGGGUGGCAGCAGUCGAGAAUUUUUCACAAUAGGGGAAACCCUGAUGGAGCGACGCCGCGUGGAGGAUGAAGGCCCUCGGGUCGUAAACUCCUGUCAUGCGGGAACAAGAAAGUGAUAGUACCGCAAGAGGAAGAGACGGCUAACGUCUGUGCCAGCAGCCGC
rnacentral:rRNA from 1 species